rnacentral:rRNA from 1 species
UACAGGGGGGGCAAGCGUUGUUCGGAAUUACUGGGCGUAAAGGGCUCGUAGGUGGCCAACUAAGUCGGACGUGAAAUCCCUCAGCUUAACUGGGGAACUGCGUCCGAUACUGGAUGGCUUGAGUUUGGGAGAGGGAUGCGGAAUUCCAGGUGUAGCGGUGAAAUGCGUAGAGAUCGGGAAGAACACCAGUGGCGAAGGCGGCCGGCUGGGGGCGCCCUGACGCUGAGGCGCGAGAGCGUGGGGAGCAAACCGG